rnacentral:rRNA from 1 species
UACGUAGGUGGCUAGCGUUAUCCGGAUUUAUUGGGCGUAAAGGGAACGCAGGCGGUCUUUUAAGUCUGAUGUGAAAGCCUUCGGCUUAACCGGAGUAGUGCAUUGGAAACUGGGAGACUUGAGUGCAGAAGAGGAGAGUGGAACUCCAUGUGUAGCGGUGAAAUGCGUAGAUAUAUGGAAGAACACCAGUGGUGAAAGCGGCUCUCUGGUCUGUAACUGACGCUGAGGUUCGAAAGCGUGGGUAGCAAACAGG